GGGAACUGCAUCUGAUACUGUUAAGCUAGAGUAGGUGAGAGGGAAGUAGAAUUCCAGGUGUAGCGGUGAAAUGCGUAGAGAUCUGGAGGAAUACCGAUGGCGAAGGCAGCUUCCUGGCAUCAUACUGACACUGAGGCUCGAAAGCGUGGGUAGCAAACAGGAUUAGAUACCCUGGUAGUCCACGCCGUAAACGAUGUCUACUAGUCGUUGGGUCCCNUGAGGACUUAGUGACGCAGCUAACGCAAUAAGUAGACCGCCUGGGGAGUACGGCCGCAAGGUUAAAACUCAAAUGAAUUGNCGGGGGCCCGCACCAGCGGUGGAGCAUGUGGUUUANUUNGAUGCAACGCGAAGAACCUUACCUGGUCUUGACAUACACAGAAUCUUGUAGAGAUACGAGAGUGCCUUCGGGAAUUGUGAUACAGGUGCUGCAUGGCUGUCGUCAGCUNGUGUCGUGAGAUGUUGGGUUAAGUCCCGCAACGAGCGCAACCCUUGUCCUUAGUUACCAGCGGGUUAAGCCGGGAACUCUAAGGAUACUGCCAGUGACAAACUGGAGGAAGGCGGGGACGACGUCAAGUCAUCAUGGCCCUUACGACCAGGGCUACACACGUGCUACAAUGGUAGGUACAGAGGGCAGCUACACAGCGAUGUGAUGCGAAUCUCAAAAAGCCUAUCGUAGUCCAGAUUGGAGUCUGCAACUCGACUCCAUGAAGUAGGAAUCGCUAGUAAUCGCGGAUCAGAAUGCCGCGGUGAAUACGUUCCCGGGCCUUGUACACACCGCCCGUCACACCAUGGGAGUUGAUUGCACCAGAAGUGGUUAGCCGA
rnacentral:rRNA from 1 species